rnacentral:lncRNA from 1 species
AGUGCGUACACUUGUCACGCCCCGGGGUCCUUUUUCGGUAUAAAAGUCAAUGCGGAAGUUCUCAAUUUUUUAUUUUUUAUUUUUUGAAAAAAAACUGACUCUCAGGGUAUGCCAGAUCCGCCACAAAUACAGAAAGUCCACUAUUCACAUGGACCGAGUCUCCCCUGUAUUUGCGCGGCGUCGCACAAGUACAAGAUAUACAAUGCAAGAUACAACCACCACAUAUGAAUAUCCACACAUCCAUACACCAUUCACAUUCACAUCACAAUUAUCUAUAAUUCAACAUCUAUCAGUUCAAAAUGUUUCCUACCCGGAAACUCGUUUUGAAAUACUAAUAACCAGGACAACUAGAAAAUCUUUUUAAAAACGGUUUCCCGCACGGAAACCUUUUUCUUUAAAACUCGCUACCACGAGGGGUAGAAAAUCAUGUUCAUUUGCAAGAAUCAUAAUUCCUUUAUUACAUUCAUAAAACCAGAUAAACCAAAAUAUAAUAAAUCACUGAACGAUUAACUGUCUACGUCAUUUAUUUAAAAUGAACUGAGUUUAAGAAUUAAACCAAAUGGACGGGUCCG